rnacentral:lncRNA from 1 species
CCCAGAGCUGUAUGCAAUCUUCAGUAUCGUAACUAUAGUCACAAUGAUAAAAGCAAUAUUUACUCGGGUCGUGAUGGCGCUCUAGCCUCAUUCACAACUUCGGAGGCUGAGAUAGUUCGGCUUGUACCUCCAUCAGUACCUCCCCCUAGAAAUAGUCAAAGGUGUGUAGUUAGUAUAAUGCCUUGGAGGUGAAGGUUGUCGAUCUCUUUUCUGAGGACUUCGAGAUUGAUGAUUUCGACCUCUCUUUUUUCACCUUUGGGAUGAUGAUCGAGAGUGUUGGCAAGUUCUCCCUUUCCACUUUGGAAAGCGCUCCUUAUUUCGUCCUACUGUAAC